AUGCAACCCUAUUCCAAAAUGAACUUACUGUAGCCAAUCCGCACCACAAGGACCCAAAUGGCUAGGGCCCAAGUUCGUAUGCUCGUUAAACUACAGUAACCUCGUAGUGAAUAGCUGAGGCAUCGCAGGUCAAAGGAUCAGUUAUACAACUGCAACAUAAGUAAUCACUGACGAGUGGAUAGACAUCUAUAUGACUACUUUCUUUGGUCACGCUCAGUACUUUGUUCUCUAACAAGUACUUACACAAUUACUCCAGUGUCUCUACACUGUGGAAUUGAGACUCAUCCAUCUCACUAAGUGAUCUAUGCACUAAUCUCAGUGGAUCGAUCACCAUCCCUCGUGAUGGAUCCAUCGAUUAGGAGCAUUUAGAAAUUAAUCCCUAAUGACAUAUGUCUCAAAUUUUCAACUCCUUGAGAAUAUGUGUUACCAUCUUAUUAAUUUUUUGGACGAUUCAUGGACACAUACAAACAUGAAUGAAUAAUAAAUUGCCCAAUUUUAUUAAUCAAUAAGAGUCAGAUUACAAAUUUAUGCCCCAGAUUAUAAAUAUGUGUCAGCCACAUUGGCUUCUAGGGCAUACUUCUAACAAAUACCAAACCCAUAAUCCUUAAUAUUCAAAAAAUCAUUAACUAAAAAUUCAUAAUCAACUGAAGAACUAAAGUUUUGGUAAUUAGAUUGCCAAGCUUGCUAGCAUGAACUCCAAGCCUGGACCAUCCUUCGUUCCUCUCGAUCCUAUUCGUCUGAAGAAAAAAAUAAAAAUAGAUGUAUAUGAGUGACACAACUCAAUAAGUAAACUUUUCACUACCUUACCAGAUCAA
rnacentral:lncRNA from 1 species